rnacentral:ncRNA from 1 species
GUAUUAACAACAAAGGUAAUGAGAACAAUUUUAGUAAAUACAUAUUGGUGGCGCUUCUUGCAACUUCUACAGUCGUAAGGAACGAAGACUCAUAUGUAUAUACGAAAUAAAGAUAUCAGAAAGGUCUGUC